rnacentral:rRNA from 1 species
AGAGUUUGAUCCUGGCUCAGAUUGAACGCUGGCGGCAUGGCUAAAACAUGCAAGUCGAACGCGAAGCUCCUUCGGGAGCGGGACGUGGCGAAAGGGCGAGGAAUACAUUCUUACGUACCCCAAGGUCGGGGAUAGCUGAGGGAAACUUCAGGUAAUACCCGAUGUGGUGCUUCGGCAUCAAAGGCUUGCCGCCUUGGGAGCGGAGAAUGUCCUAUCAGGUUGUUGGUGAGGUAACGGCUCACCAAGCCGAAGACGGGUAGCGGGUGUGAGAGCAUGACCCGCCGCAUCGGGACUGAGACACUGCCCGGACUCCUACGGGAGGCUGCAGUAACGAAUCUUCCGCAAUGCGCGAAAGCGUGACGGGGCAAUGCCGCGUGUGGGAUGAAGCUCCUCGGAGUGUAAACCACUGUCAGGGUUUAGGAACACAAUGACCAGACCCAAAGGAAGGGCCGGCUAACUCUGUGCCAGCAGCCGCGGUAAUACAGAGGGCCCGAGCGUUAAUCGGAAUCACUGGGCUUAAAGCGUACGUAGGCGGACAUGUAGGCACUCUGUGAAAGCCCUCGGCUCAACCGGGGAAUCGCUUGGUGAACCACAUGUCUUGAGGCAGGUAGGGGCGGUCGGAACGCUAGGUGGAGCGGUGAAAUGCAUAGAUAUCUAGCGGAACGCCAAAGGAGAAGUCAGGCCGCUGGGCCUGUCCUGACGCUGAGGUACGAAAGCGUGGGUAGCGAACGGGAUUAGAUACCCCGGUAGUCCACGCCGUAAACGAUGCGAACUAGAUCGGGGAGGUUUGACGCCCUCCUGGUCGAAGCAAAAGUGUUAAGUUCGCCGCCUGGGGAGUACGGUCGCAAGGCUAAAACUCAAAGGAAUUGACGGGGGCUCACACAAGCGGUGGAGCAUGUGGCUUAAUUCGAAGCAACGCGAAGAACCUUAUCCUGGGCUUGACAUGUAGAGUUCAGUCGUUGAAAGACGAUGUCCCGCAAGGGAGAUCUACACAGGUGCUGCAUGGCUGUCGUCAGCUCGUGCUGUGAAGUGUCGGGUUAAGUCCCUCAACGAGCGCAACCCUUGUCGCUAGUUGCCAGCGAGUCAUGUCGGGGACUCUAGCGAGACUGCCGGUGUCAAACCGGAGGAAGGUGGGGAUGACGUCAAGUCCUCAUGGCCUUUAUGCCCAGGGCUGCACACGUGCUACAAUGGUAGGUACAGAACGAUGCAAGACCGCGAGGUGGAGCAAAUCGCUAAAGCCUGCCCCAGUUCAGAUUGCAGGCUGCAACUCGCCUGCAUGAAGUCGGAAUCGCUAGUAAUCGCGGAUCAGCUACGCCGCGGUGAAUACGUUCCUGAGCCUUGUACACACCGCCCGUCAAGUCAUGGAAGCCGGCAGCGCCCGAAGUCGCCACGAUUCAGUGGUGCCCACGGUGAGGCUGGUGACUGGGACUAAGUCGGAACAAGGUA